UGGAAGGGGAGCAGGGGAGCUUGGCUGGAAGCUGGAGACCUGUGCUCGCUCUCAGCAAUUGAAUUCACUAACAAGCCAGAAGUGAAUUAACCCCAACCUGCCAGGUGCAGAGCAAAACCUGGAGGCCCAACUCCCAGGCCCAGCCAGGUGCUGCUCAGCUGGGAGUCCCUUCCAGGAUUGGCUGGCACCUGCAAAGAAUCCAGAAAGAUUAAGCCAAAACCCAGGAGGAUAUCUGAAGAGUUGAGGAAAAUGUGAAAACUGAGGGACAGAAGUUGUUACAGUGGUUUUAAAACAUGCCUGCAAAUCCUGUGAUACGUCCUUCAAGAAGUAAAGCCUAAUUCCCUUCCCCUUGAGUAUGGGCUGGGAUCUGUGACUUGAUUGCAAGGAAUUAGAAUGAGGUAUAGAUGGCACGUGUGACCUCUGAGACUAGAUUAAAAUGGUGAUACAGCUUCUACCUAGCUCUGUCUCUCUUGAGACAUGUGCCUUUGGAGACCUGAGACACCAUGGAAGAAGCCAGGCUGCCUUGAAGCCAUCAUGCUGGAGAGACCACGUAGGGAGACCACACACAGAGAGAGAAAGAGCCCCAAGGAGCCCCAGCCACUCUAGUCUCAGCAGUUUGAGUCUUUCCAGCCCAGGCAGCAGACAUGUAGGUCAGGAAGCCUUGGAGAUGACUCUUGCCCCAGCCCCUGCCUGACUACAACUGCAUGAAUGACUCUGAGGGACAACUGCCCAGCUGAGCCCAGCCAGCCCCCA
rnacentral:lncRNA from 1 species